rnacentral:misc_RNA from 1 species
CGUACUCAAACAGGAACAGUACGGGACCUGAUCGUGUACAAGAAAUCCUCACCCGACAAAGUUUCACGUACUUUCUCAUUUCACCAUUCGCAACCGUGGUCUUGUCAAGCGUACAGGUAGUUACACCUCAGAAUUAUGGACCAAACGGCAGAAGCAAAUCCCAACCGUCCAGAGAAAGAUAACCUUCAGCCCCAGACCCCGAAGAGAGAGCACAGCGCUGUUGGCCAGAUGGAGGAGGAGGCAGGAGGGGCCACAGCCAACGAGAGCAGAAUGGGCGCGUCUUCCCUGGCCACUGAUGGAGAAAGCUCAGUGGAUGAGUAUGCCGAGCUAACAGAUGCCAUUGCAUUAGAUUGUGAAAUGGUGGGUGGUGGCAAGAGAGGAAGAGUAUCUAUGCUAGCAAGGGUUUCUGUUGUAAAUGAAUACGGCGUAGUACUUCUGGACAAGUAUGUUAAGCCCAGCCAGAAGGUUGUUGACUACAGGACACAAUAUUCAGGGAUUCGAGAAGCUGAUUUAAAACAUGGGGAAGAUUUUAGCCAUGUCAGGAAGCAGGUGCUAGAGAUACUUAAGGGGAGAAUAUUGGUGGGCCAUGCAUUGAGGAAUGACCUUCACGCACUUUCCAUUAAACAUCCAAGAGCACUUACAAGAGACACCUCAAUGUAUAGAGUUUUCUGUAACAAGUUUGAAGGUAAGACGCCGUCCCUAAAGAAGCUGAGCAAGAAGGUUUUGGGCAUCAACAUCCAGGAAGGCGAACAUGACUCAGUUGAAGAUGCGCAGGCAGCAAUGAGUCUCUACAUGCUUUGCCGAAAGCAAUGGGGUCCUAAGCAGAAGAAGAAGAACAAUGCUGCUAAAGAAUAUUAUAAGUAUGAACCAAGAAAGGAAGGCAGAAGAACUAAUGUCGCAUCAACUUCAUACCUAAACCAAGUCAACAAAUUAUCAGAACUCCCAUCAUUUGAAAGCAGAUUCGACAAGAACAUUGAGAUUGUGACAAUACACAGUAACCAACAAAAGUCAGUCAAGGAAAAGGAAGAAGAGAAAGCAAAUUGUGAGAGGUCAGAAUUGAAAAAAGAUCAAUCUACAGAGGAUUUUUCAACACUCAGUUCUAAUGACAUCCAGACAGAAAAGACGAGUGAUGGUAGUAGCAUGUCUACCCCGAGACAACAGGAGGAGAUAUAAAAGGUAGACAAAUGCAUCUGCUGAAGAACUGGAUCCAGCAUGCAGAACUUAAAUCAGUACAAGAUGCACAAGUGGUAAUUCUAGCUUAAGAAUGUUUCCAUCAGCAGUGAAGGGAGGCAGUUACAAAAGAAAAAA